UACGGAGGGUGCAAGCGUUAUCCGGAUUUACUGGGCGUACAGGGAGCGUAGGCGGUUGGAUAAGCCCUCCGUGAAAUCUCCAGGCUUAACCUGGAAAGUGCAGAGGGGACUGUUCAGCUAGAGGAUGGGAGAGGAGCGCGGAAUUCCCGGUGUAGCGGUGAAAUGCGUAGAGAUCGGGAGGAAGGCCGGUGGCGAAGGCAGCGCUCUGGAACAUUUCUGACGCUGAGGCUCGAAAGCGUGGGGAGCAAACAGG
rnacentral:rRNA from 1 species